GGUACACAUGGCGCAGACUAGUGCAGGCUCUCAACAAAAGGGAAUCUCGGAGGGUUCCGGCACUUGUUGUGCAUAAAAACAAGGCCUUUGAGAUUGGCUAAUGCUGGCAACGUUGUGCAUGCAACAAAGUCAAGUCAUGGUCAAGUCACGUCCAAGCAGAAGGCCAGUCAGCCGUCAGCGUUUCGCGCGUUUUCUGUAUUUACCGCAGCAGAGUUUGCAGCGACCUCCGUUGUGGUAUUUUGUUCCUCGGAGGCAUGCUCUCGGAAUCGGAAAAAGGAGGUGAUCAAUAUGCAGUCGUCAAGUUUCCAGAGGAAGGAAACUCUGUGGCUCUUGUACAUACCAAGUGGCUGCAUGGCGAUGUCUGCUUGUGGCCACAGGAUUCCAAGAAUGUUUCGUAUUUAGCCAAAUGUGGAGCCUCUCCAUCCUCCAACUGGCAAGUCGUGCCAUGUGUGCCCAUAGACACAUUCAGAACAUAUGAUGCAGCGCGACAAAAGCUCAAGCAAGCUGAAGAUGGGUCAGACUUGGGGAGUGAAGUGGACCUAGGACGGGGCAAAAGAAAAAAGCAACGAAGAGCCCUUAGCUCAAGUCCGGAAAGUGUGCAGCGACUACCACUUCCACCGCCCUCUAUGAUGAAAAAAGCACAGAAGAGGGAUGGGAGACGUAUUCACAAGCAGUCAUCACAUGCAUCAACAUCUAGGGCUAAUGAUCCCAAUGUUUGCAGUGAUCAAGGCGCAGUGCAAUGUGCACAAAUGUGUGCUAGCGAGACUUCAGAAUCUGAGGGUGAGGCGGAGUCUGGAGGUGAACAAGAUGCAAUGCAAGAAUCAUCAGGCAUUAAAAGAUCGUUCACAGCUCACUCUUUGAUGAAAAAGCAAGCCAAAUGGGAAAUACACAGUGCAACAAUGAGAAGUGGCAUUCAAGUCAGUCUGUUGCACCUAUUUCAGAUGAUGGCAUUAAGCAGGUCAUCAGGCUUCUACAAACGGUAAUCUUGAGAGUCGAGCACCUGGGAAGCCAACUAGACGUAAUAAAAGCAAAGCUUUGUGACCAACAACUGCAUCCUGAAGCAGAUUUGUUAGAAAAACCAUUUUGUGACAUCACGGAGUUCGAACUGUUUGAUCAAGGCCUCUCAGAAAGUGAUGCAAUGAAGUCAAAGUUGGUUUCUAUGUAUGAAAUAAGCAAGUAUCCUUGCUUGUAUAUGUAGAAGGUUUUAUGUGCGCUGCAGUUCUUAAUUCCAGGUAGAAAAACGUUUUUUUUUUCUUCAUGUACCCAAAGGCCCUUUUACAGGCAUUACAUAGGGGGUUACAUAUUACAUAACAUCACGGGGAAUAAAUAAUGAAAAUAUACAAGCGUGAAAUGUACCUGGCUUUUUGCACUUAAAAAACGAAAUGUAAUGUAUAAUAGCCAUAUCUUAAGGGACUAAUUUUGUGAACAGUGUACUUGUAUAUUCCUCAGAUCCAACGUAACACAGUACCUUUCAAAGUCAGUAUUUAUGUCAACUGGUCUUUUGCAAACCUGAAAAUGGCUGUUUCCUUGAACAGAUGGUGUGAGCAAUUACUCAUAUCAGCAACUCGUGUGCGUGGACAAUGAGCCCAUUUCUACAGUUUUCUAGUGGCAUUACCACUAGAAAGCUUCUACAUGCCACUAUGUAUUUGCAUGACUACAUAUCUAGUGGCAUUUAAAAUGUACUGCACAUUCAUAAUUUUUGUCAUUGAUGGUACAGCAGUACAUAAUGUACAAAGUUUCAAUCUUCUGAAAAGCUGGUUGCUACAAAAGGAUUACACGCUUGACAUAUGCUGCCAUCUGCACUCGGUUUUCCAUUACACCAAAUAUAUUAGCCUAUAAAAGUUACUCAAUCAAUCAAUCAAUC